rnacentral:tmRNA from 1 species
GGGGAUGUGUGGUUUCGACAGGGCCGGAUUCCCGGAGAACGCGAGCCGAGGUGCCGUCUGGCCUCGUAAAAAGGCGGCAAAAAGAAGUACCUGGCAACCGCCAGCCUGCUCUCGCCCUCGCCGCUUAAGGCGGCAGAGUGAGCGUGGAAGCGACCUCAUCCCCGUGGGUCGUGGAAGCGUCAUCCAGCGGGGAUGCAGCCUCGGGUAGCGUCGCGUAGCCGAGGAUCAAGCCCGCAAGGGGACGC